CUUUACUCCAUUCCCGUGUUUCUGUUCCACUGUUUAUCACUUCACAGAACAGACUACAGAAUUACUAGAUAUACAUACUACAACACCAUGUUAAUCGUCUACUGCGUGUCUGCGUCCAGCUGCAGACUCUGUUUCCCAACAGCUGUUCUUGUUCACUACUGUAAAACCAUGGUUAGAUCGCUCCGUGAACCGGAGGAUAAGAUACAAUAGGAAUGUGCCAUAAGCAAGCACAGCCACACAGAGGCACAUGCCAGAUAUCGGGCCUCGUAUCUCCGAGGAGAAGAAAUCCAACAAGAGAUAGCCAUUGAUUAUGAUCGGUAAAGAUGCAACUGUCCAGGUUACGAUCUGCGCAAAUAUGCCAAUGUCUUGUAUCCCCACUACGGAAAUGCAAAUGCAUACUGUUUAAGAAUUCUGAGUGCUGCACUGGUGGAAUAGACCAAAACGAUUCUACAAGCUGAAACCAACUUGAUCAAUUCACUGUUUGCACCUCUAUACAAAUCACCUGCUUUUUGCAGAACAUGGAUGAUAUCAUCCUACAGAUUUGCAAUAACUAGAUUAAUGAACCAAUUUAUUGGAACUAUCUUGUGAAGUAACACCUCAUUUGUGCAAACUACCAACUAGCCUUUGAUAACUCGUACUACCCACCAGGCACCAGUACAUCUCAAUAGCACAAAAGAGCGACCAAA